rnacentral:sRNA from 12 species
UCCAUCCCAGACCGAGUACCGUCAAAGUCCGCGCAAGCGGAGGCAGUCGGAAUCGAGGCCGCGCGGGCGGCCACGUCGUAAAGCUUUACCUGGGGACGUCCGAGAUUCCGU